CCUACGGGGGGCAGCAGUAAGGAAUAUUGGUCAAUGGGCGGAAGCCUGAACCAGCCAUGCCGCGUGCAGGAAGACGGCCUACGGGUUGUAAACUGCUUUUGCAGGGGAAUAUGUACUCUGAGAAUAAGGAUCGGCUAACUCCGUGCCAGCAGCCGCGGUAAUACGGAGGAUCCAAGCGUUAUCCGGAUUUAUUGGGUUUAAAGGGUGCGUAGGUGGCUUAUUAAGUCAGGGGUGAAAGACGGUAGCUUAACUAUCGCAGUGCCUUUGAUACUGAUGAGCUUGAAUGAACUGGAGGUAAGCGGAAUGUGACAAGUAGCGGUGAAAUGCAUAGAUAUGUCACAGAACACCAAUUGCGAAGGCAGCUUACUACGGUAAUUGACACUGAGGCACGAAAGCGUGGGGAUCAAACAGGAUUAGAUACCCUUGUAGUC
rnacentral:rRNA from 1 species